GGUCCAAGAAUUUCACCUCUAGCGGCGCAAUACGAAUGCCCCCGGCCGUCCCUCUUAAUCAUGGCCUCAGUUCCGAAAACCAACAAAAUAGAACCGCGGUCCUAUUCCAUUAUUCCUAGCUGCGGUAUCCAGGCGGCUCGGGCCUGCUUUGAACACUCUAAUUUUUUCAAAGUAAACGCUUCGGGCCCCGCGGGACACUCAGCUAAGAGCAUCGAGGGGGCGCCGAGAGGCAAGGGGCGGGGACGGGCGGUGGCUCGCCUCGCGGCGGACCGCCCGCCCGCUCCCAAGAUCCAACUACGAGCUUUUUAACUGCAGCAACUUUAAUAUACGCUAUUGGAGCUGGAAUUACCGCGGCUGCUGGCACCAGACUUGCCCUCCAAUGGAUCCUCGUUAAAGGAUUUAAAGUGGACUCAUUCCAAUUACAGGGCCUCGAAAGAGUCCUGUAUUGUUAUUUUUCGUCACUACCUCCCCGGGUCGGGAGUGGGUAAUUUGCGCGCCUGCUGCCUUCCUUGGAUGUGGUAGCCGUUUCUCAGGCUCCCUCUCCGGAAUCGAACCCUGAUUCCCCGUCACCCGUGGUCACCAUGGUAGGCACGGCGACUACCAUCGAAAGUUGAUAGGGCAGACGUUCGAAUGGGUCGUCGCCGCCACGGAGGGCGUGCGAUCGGCCCGAGGUUAUCUAGAGUCACCAAAGCCGCCGGCGCCCACCCCCCCGGCCGGGGCCGGGGGGAGGCUGACCGGGUUGGUUUUGAUCUGAUAAAUGCACGCAUCCCCCCCGCGAAGGGGGUCAGCGCCCGUCGGCAUGUAUUAGCUCUAGAAUUACCACAGUUAUCCAAGUAGGAGAGGAGCGAGCGACCAAAGGAACCAUAACUGAUUUAAUGAGCCAUUCGCAGUUUCACUGUACCGGCCGUGCGUACUUAGACAUGCAUGGCUUAAUCUUUGAGACAAGCAUAUGCUACUGGCAGGAUCAACCAGGUAGGAGCGCGCGGUCAAGAGGGUGGGACCGGCAGGGACCGCCGCUCGCUCGCUCGCUCGCACAGGCGAGAGAGAAGCCGGGAACCGGCGCGGGGCGCGCACCACGGCGGCGCGGCCGCAAGCCUCCGCGGGGAAGCAAGCCGGACGACAGAGCCGGCGGGAUCAGGGGCGUCCUCGGACGCGAGCGGGUCAAGCCCCGGCGGCUCACCCGCACACACCCCAGGGACGGGGCGCGGCAGAGGCGGCAGAGGGGGGAGAGGAGAUCGGGAGGAGGGGGACCCGGAGGCUCCCGCCCCACAGACACACACACCCCCAGCAGACGGAGCGGACCCCGAGCGACGGCGGGCACGGAGUCGGGCGCGGGGGUUCGGGGUGGGGACGCGGUGGCAACCAGGGCACACCAAACGCCACCCAAGGAGGGCGACUCACAGUGUCCCUCCUACACCCCGCCCAGGCCGACCGGCGCCCGCACACACGCGACGCCGGCCGCCACACCAAGUCCACGACGCGACGGCCCGGAGGAACCAGCCACGACACACCCGCGGGACUCGGGGCACACGCGCGAGCACCACCACCGCCGCGGAGCCACCAACGCCACCAGGGGGGGAGCUGGGGGGUGACGACGCCUCCCCCUCCUCCUCCUCCUCCUUCCCCCACGCACGCCAACAAGCCAACGCGCGACGCCACAGCCGCCCGGGGGCGGUUCCACACGCGGAAGGGGAGCCGGAACCCCCAACCACCAAGACACGGUGGGCCGGCCCAAGGGGAGGCGAAACACAGCAGGGUCACGGCGACCCGGGUCGGGAAGCGGAUGAGAAAGAGGGCAAAGGAGACGGGGGCCAGGGCCGCCCGGCAGGCGGAGGAAGGCGCGGGCAAAGGGCGACGGGGAAAAGGACCAGAGCCACCCACGCGACGACGGUGCGGGCGGAAGGGCCUCACCACGCAGCCGGCCGGCCGGCCAGUCGCGCCAGAGCACACAACCCCCACCACCACACGCGGGAUCUCACCGCCAGCACCCUCCGAGGGCAAGGGCGGUCCCGCGGGGAUGGGAAGGCAGCACCUGACGCAGCCAACCGGGGGCCGUCGUGCCUCAGCCACAGCCACCCAAACACGCAUCUUCACGCGGGGAAGACCACCGGCCCCGCCCCCGCCACCAGUCACGGACAGACCCCAACCCCACAAGGCCCCCACGGGCACGCGGGCAGCGGAGCCCUCAAAGAGCCCACCCUCCCCCGGAGGGGGGGGAGGGCGAACGGCCCAGCCCGCAGCGACAGCGAGGGGGGGUGGGGGCCGCACCAGGGCCACGGAGGGCGAGGCACCGGAGGCACGAGGGAGAGGACGCAGGGAGCGCCUUGGGCCACAAAAGCCGGACCCGCCGGGGAAACGGACACGGGAUCCCACCGCCACACACCAGGGCGGUCCCGCGACGCCUGGGACACCGGAGCCCACCUCUGGCGACCCUCCACGUCUUCUCCCACGCACACCCAAGAGCCCCGCCGCCAGGGCGCCUCCACGCGACAGCGCCAACAACCGCACACACCGGACGGCCCUCGCGCCAUCUCCCGCCCAUCCAACCAUCCGGAUCUCCAUGCCCGGAGAAGCACCGCGACCCCGAGGGAACGCUCCCCAGGGGCGACCACGCGAGCCGAGGGGGAAGAGAGGGCUGGGCCCAGCCCAACACACGUGCCGACCGCCGCCCGACGACGGCCAGUCGCAGCCCGGGGUGGCGAGCAGGGGAAGCUGAGAGCUGCCCGCUCGCGCCACAGCCCCAGGGACGCGCAGGACGGACCACGCGCGCCCCCGCCAAGCCCCGGCCGACAAGGCAACACACGGAGAGCGACGCGGAAGGCACGCGCGCACACGGGCACGCGCGCCGGUCCCCAACACGAAGAAAGAGCGACGGACCGCCAGCCCGGCCCGGCGGGACCCUCCCCCGACACGGAGGGGCAAACGGGGCGCACGGGUGGGGUACGCCACCCAACGCACUCAGCACAGGAGGGACGGCGGCCGGGGGAUAACGGUACCCCGUCAGAAGGCACGCCCCUCUCUCGGAUCGCUAGAGAAGGCGUUCCUCACCGAAGGUGGGCCACACCCCACCCCAACUGCCCCCCUCCGCCGGGCCGGCAGGAGGCAAGCCGAGGGAGCACCACCCGAGAGACCGAUCAAUCGGGCGAGGGGGUCUGCGGUAUAGGGAAGAAACGGCACCUCGAGCAUCCGCGGCCAGGGCAAGGGCAGGCUGGGCGCAUUACCAAUCCCAUUCGCCACAGCCCUCCCGGCCCCCGCACUCGUCCGGCCAGACCGGACCACACCGCGACUGCUCGACACACCUGGCACACACCACCCCACGGGGGCAGGGUGGCAAGCGCGCAGGCAUGCGCCCACCAAGCCGAUACCCCACACACACGUGGGGACGACGGCACGACACCGGCAGCCUCCCUCCAAGCGAGGCGAAGCACACACGUGUCUCCUUCUCUUACCGCCUCGACCCCCCCAAGACUCCCAAGGGGCACAGGCAGCAGCCAGAGGCAGCCGCAGCAGCGACACCCGGGAGAGGGCGCUGGGGGGACAGGAGCAACACCACCACUCGGCUUCAGGCACCUGAGGCACAACCUGGACCACUCCAGGGGCACCGCACAGGCUCGCGCGGAGGCAAGGCUCCGCAGCCACAGAGCCCACGACAGGGCGACGGCGAGGGAUGCCCGCCACGUCAGAGGACCCCGACCCCCCCCCGCGCGCAAAAGCACGGGGACAGCAGAGGCCGGGCCGGUUUCCGCACCCCUGCCACCCACACACCACCCGCAGGUGGGGAAGGCAGAACGAGGGGCCCGCAGGCCAGAACGAGAGGCUCAGCAGCAUUCACCAUGAACGGCUGUCCCUCAUCUGGAGCGGCUUAGGUCCGGCCCAGGAGAGCGCCACAGCACCACAUCGGUCACAGUCAGGUCUAGGCUUUAACACGUGGAGCGAGGGCGGGGGGACACGACCCGGCGAGGACAGCCACCAGAGGGGCCCGCUGCAGCCUCACCAGCCCCCGCCUCUCACUGCAGGCGGUAGACAACCCCAGCGGAGAACGCCUGACACGCACACGUGGCAUGAAGCCACCCCUCAUCGAGGGCCUUUCAAGUCAGAGGGUUGUCACAACCACCACGCGAUCGGCUCACCAGCGGCAGAGAGCGCACGCGGGUAGAGGACCCGACGCCCGCCUCACCCCACCGCCCUCGGGCACCAUAGGCCGGAGGUGGCAUCACCGUCGCGGGACAACCGGAACGAACGCACACAAGCCACCGCGCGAGCCCAAGCAGGUGGCUCUCAGAAAGGAGCACGGUCGAGCACCAGCCCACUGGAAGCCCACUUUGUCCCCGUGUCCCCAACGCACGUCCGGAGUCCCCUCCCUGGCGACAGUCACCAGAGAACAGCGUGUCAGCACCUACCUGCAGGUCCAAAACCACAACUCCAAGUAUAAAAAUGUCCACGCGAGAGGACACAGGGCUGAUGCACUGGACACAGCCACCUCUGAGCUUGGGGACCCGGUCACUUGUCCCCAAAAUGCCACCCAUCUCUGUUAGAGGACACUCCUCUGGCCACCUGGUCGACCUGGGGUGGGGGAGGGGACUAGGGCCAUGAGCAGGCCACCACCCCACACAUGGCAGGCAGCCCCAUCCAGGCGAACUCACACACGGGCUGCAGCGGACCGGCCUCUGGCCCUCAGAAGGCAACCCAGGGGCCGGCGCCGUGGCUCAAUAGGCUAAUCCUCCGCCUUGCGGUGCCGGCACACCAGGUUCUAGUCCCGGUCGGGAUGCCGGAUUCUGUCCCAGUUGCCCCUCUUCCAGGCCAGCUCUCUGCUGUGGCCAGGGAGUGCAGUGGAGGA
ensembl:lncRNA